UUUAAGUGCGACAAGUUUCCGCGCCCAACUUUGAUAAUUCGUCUUAUUUAAAAUUUUUUAUAAUUAGUAUUUUUAUUAUUAUGAGAUGAUAAAGCAUGAAUGGUACUUUAUAUAUAACUUAUAACUUAUGCUUUUAAUUUUUUUAAAUUUUUUUAAAAUAAAACAGAUGAUUAAAGUUGUGUAAAAAAAUCAUGGCUGCACUUAAA
rfam:Oryza barthii chromosome 7, whole genome shotgun sequence.